UCUCUGAUGGGAAUUUUGAUAUACAGCUAGUUUUUGAUGGACAGCACAUCCCCUUUUAGAGGCAUAUUUGUUUAUUUUUUGUUCUUUUUCGCUCAUUUUAGAUAUUCCUAUAUCAGCGAUGGAGGGUGGAAGUGGUGGGUGGAACUAUCCGCACUAUCACGUCCGCCAACAAUGAACACCAUUGGACGCCCAAUCAUGUUACCACCAGCGAAUAGUUUGCAAUUAAGCAAUGUUAAAGAUUGACAACACUGUUGGCAAAUCAAGACCUUUCCACCACAGAUGUUUUUCACAGCACAUAAUAUAAGGAAGAGGUCUGUCUAUGUGAUUGGCCAAUUGGAUACCAAGUGACCCCAAGAGGAGGACCCACAAGGACUCUCAAACAUUUAAAAAGAAGAAGGAUUCCCGAGGCUAUCAUACAGCUAUGAGGAAGCUCACAGAGUGAAAUGCGUUUAGCUGAUUUUUUCGGACUUUUAAUUGGACUUUUUUAUUUUCU